AAAACUUGCCCUGCUGCGCGUAGACCAAUUGCUGGGCGGAUCGCAAGGCUGCGAGCUGCGACUGCAGGUUGGGAUUGGCGCGCAAGGAUGUCUCGACCAGCGAGUUGAGCGCAGGCGAACGAAACAUCUCCCACCACUUGGCAGAGACGUCCUUGUCUGUCUUGAAGCGCUGAGUCUGGCCGAGAGCCACGUCGGUCGAGCUGGUCCGACUGCCCAAAG
rnacentral:misc_RNA from 1 species